rnacentral:rRNA from 1 species
AUUGAACGCUGGCGGCAUGCCUUACACAUGCAAGUCGAACGGUAACAGGUCUUCGGAUGCUGACGAGUGGCGAACGGGUGAGUAAUACAUCGGAACGUGCCUAGUAGUGGGGGAUAACUACUCGAAAGAGUGGCUAAUACCGCAUGAGAUCUACGGAUGAAAGCAGGGGAUCGCAAGACCUUGUGCUACUAGAGCGGCCGAUGGCAGAUUAGGUAGUUGGUGGGAUAAAAGCUUGCCAAGCCGACGAUCUGUAGCUGGUCUGAGAGGACGAUCAGCCACACUGGGACUGAGACACGGCCCAGACGCCUACGGGAGGCAGCAGUGGGGAAUUUUGGACAAUGGGCGCAAGCCUGAUCCAGCAAUGCCGCGUGCAGGAUGAAGGCCUUCGGGUUGUAAACUGCUUUUGUACGGAACGAAAAGCCCCGGGUUAAUACCCUGGGGUCAUGACGGUACCGUAAGAAUAAGCACCGGCUAACUACGUGCCAGCCGCCGCCGUAA